GGAUCAAUUUAUUGGUCGUGCUAUUGUACGUACUGGUAUUAUUGAUUCCUACCUUCUGACGAACCAUGAUGUCAUUAAUUUGGUGUCAUGGGGAAUCAGGACUGUUACUUUGAAUAAAUUAGAGUGUUCAAAGCAGGCAUAAAGGGGCCUUGAAUACAUUAGCAUGGGAUAAUAGAACAG
rnacentral:rRNA from 1 species